rnacentral:misc_RNA from 1 species
GUUCGAUGAUGCUUUUUUGGUGAAAGAGGAAGGAACAAAAGGGAAAGUCACGGUGUAUUUUAAUCCAGAGGAUGAGGAUGAAUGUAACGGCGAUGAUCAGGAAUUAGGAGAGGAGGACAAAAACGACGGCGUAGAGUGGUUUGAGAAUUGGGAGAAAUUGUUGAAAUUGAGAAAAGGGGAAAGGGGAUGGUAUUGUUACCAGGAUAUGAAGCUAAUUAACGGCAGCAUAGUUAGA